GAAGCAGCCUUUCGGUGUUCGUGUUCUUCCCUCUCUGGUCACCAUUUAUCUUCUCCUAUCUCAACAUCAUUAGCACUCUUUCUUUGGUCAACAUGACGAAAUCAAAUGCUAAAUCCUCAACUCUUUGCUUUGGCCAGGGCGAUUUCCAGCUUCAACUCAAACGACGACCCGCCUUGCACAAAGCUAGGGUUCAGUCCAGAAGUUGCUCGCCGAUGCAAUCCCCUUCUCCAACUUACACUCCGCCUCGAUCAAAGGUUGCUUUUGCUGAUUUUGCCAAUUUCUCAAGUGAUGUUAGGCUUUUGUCUUCUCGCAGAAACAAACCCGUGCAAAUGUCAGGCUCCCCUGCUCCGUCUCUUUGCUAUUCCUCUUCUGGUGGUCGUACCGAUAGCUCCUCUGGUAGUUCCAGGGCCAUCCCUUUGACCUUGGACCACCAUGUGGUGCGCCAUAGGGAGGCUAAACCUAGUGGUUCUCGCCUGCACUCUAACCCAACCGCUUCUUCUCCCCCUUCAGUUUAAGGCCAUCCUACAGCGACUCACACCACUAUCCUCCCCCCUUGCCUUCUGAGGGGGUUCCUCGAGCCCCUCCAGUAAUAGCUACACCUAGCUAGGCUGCCCCAACUGGUUCACCACCAGGUACAUCACACUCCCCUCCUCUUGUUCACUUCCCCGAUUAUGCAUCCUCUGCUACAUGUCAUAUUCAGGGUAGUGAUGUUAGUGAACCAGUUGAUAAAUGGAAAUUUUGCCUGGUUGGCUAUGUGGCGGGGAAAUUUCCUGGGUAUUUUGCACUGCUAUCAUAUAUUAACCGAACAUGGCAGCAUAAAACCAAUUUCUCUAUGCAUGAUUCGGGUUGGUUAAUCUUUGAGUUCUCUUCAGAAUCAGAGAUGUUAGAUGUAUUUGGGGCGGGUCCAUAUGUUGUGUUUGGUAGGCUUCUUAUUUUGAAAAUCAUGCCUGAAUUUUUUGAUUUCCAAUUUACUGAGCUUACUACAAUGCCCAUAUGGGUGCGAUUCCCUAAUCUGCCAUUACGCUGUUGGAGUCAUAUCUGCUUAUCCAAGAUUGCAAGCAUGGUUGGUAAACUAAUCCAUUGUGAUGGCCUUACUGCUCAAAUGACCCUGGUUUCUUAUACAUGGGUUCUCAUUGAAUUAGACCUCCUCUCUGAUUUACCAUCCACUAUCACUGUGAUAUUACCUAAUGGUAACACUUUGGUGCAGCAACUGGUAUAUGAAUCUCUGCCGCGAUACUGUAAGCAGUGUAAGUCUCUUGGUCAUUCCACUCUCACUUACACCCAAGGUCGCAUCCCUCGAAAUAAAAAGAGGCCUCAUGGCACUUCAGCCUAUCAGCCAGCUCUAAUCCCUCUGCAGAGACUGCAGCUGUUGAGAAGUAGGAUCAAUAUUGUGCAGGGCCUUCUGUUACUCCGUAAGAGGAUCCUAUGUCCACAGAAGCUGCUACAGCUGGUUCUAUUAGCACCUGGUCUCCUGGUCGUAAGAGACCCAAGGCUGUGGGUCCUAAGGCCUCUAUUACUGAAAAGGUGGGCACUAUAUUUAUACCUCCCAAGAGGCAGUAUCUCACUUGUAGUAAAGCAGCUGCCAUCCCUCGUAUGGGACCGCCUCUCAUAACUCCUAUUAUAGUCUUUUAGUUGCUGCAUAGCUCUGAUGACUCUGCCCCCUCAUCCACCCUUUGAUGCUUCAUCUAUGUUUGUUCUCUGCUCUUGGCGGUUGAUGGGUGCUUUCCCUGCUUGGUUUGAGGUUUCGCACUAGGCUAACUGCUGGUGUGUUGAUACCUUAUACGGUUAGUUCAGCUGGUCUGCUGGAUCCUCUUAUUUUGUUUGAUUCAAGGGAGCCUAUUUCCUUAUUCUGUUCAGUAUGCUUGUCUGGGGAGGUUGUUCCACAGUACACGCCUUUUGUAUUGUAAUCAUGUUCUACAAGUUAGGCUUGCUAUGGUAUCUACAGGGAGAAUGUUCCCUUCUCUGUUUAUAUGUAAGGUAUUUUUGGGCUGGCUUGUGCUGGGGAGAAUGUUCCCUUGCCCUUGCCUUUUGUGUUAGAUGAGGGUUUUAUUCCCUUUGAUGGGGUAUGUACUGUUCCACUGUUUCCAGCUUAUAUUGCAAGCUUGUCUUGUUAUUUUUAAUCUAUAUACUUCUUACAUU